rnacentral:ncRNA from 1 species
AGGAGCCGUGUGAUGUGAAAGUAUCAAGCACGGUUUUGAAUGGGAGUUGGGAAAGGUGACUUUCCUUUCGACCCCUAC